CCUACGGGAGGCAGCAGUGGGGAAUCUUGCGCAAUGGGCGAAAGCCUGACGCAGCAACGCCGCGUGGAGGAUGAAGGCCUUCGGGUCGUAAACUCCUGUCAGUGGGGACGAAAGCUUCGAAAGAGGCUUGACUGUACCCGCUGAGGAAGCCACGGCUAACUCCGUGCCAGCAGCCGCGGUAAUACGGAGGUGGCAAGCGUUGUUCGGAAUUACUGUGCGUAAAGGGCGCGUAGGCGGCAGGGCAAGUCAGAUGUGAAAGCCCCGGGUUUAACUGGGAAAUGGCAUCUGAAACUGCCUGGCUUGAGUUCUGGAGGGGGUAGUGGAAUUCCCAGUGUAGGGGUGAAAUGCGUAGAUAUUGGGAGGAACACCUGUGGCGAAGGCGGCUACCUGGACAGAAACUGACGCUGAGGCGCGAAAGCUAGGGGAGCGAACGGGAUUAGAUCCCCAAGUAGU
rnacentral:rRNA from 1 species